rnacentral:rRNA from 1 species
GGCCUACCAUGGUGGUAACGGGUAACGGGGUGUUAGGGCACGACACCGGAGAGGGAGCCUGAGAAACGGCUACCACAUCCAAGGAUGGCAGCAGGCGCGCAAAUUACCCAAUCCCGACACGGGGAGGUAGUGACAAUAAAUAACAAUACGGGGUUCUUUUGGAUUUCGUAAUUGGAAUGAGUACAAUUUAAAUCUCUUAACGAGGAACAAUUGGAGGGCAAGUCUGGUGCCAGCAGCCGCGGUAAUUCCAGCUCCAAUAGCGUAUAUUAAAGUUGUUGCAGUUAAAAAGCUCGUAGUUGAAUUUCGGGGUCAGCAGGUUGGUCGUGCCACUGGUAUGAACUGGCCUUGCUGAUUCCUCCUUCUUGAAGAACCGUGGUGCCAUUAAUUUGUUGUUGCGGGGAAACAGGACUGUUACUUUGAAAAAAUUAGAGUGUUUAAAGCAGGCUAACGCCUGAAUACAUUAGCAUGGAAUAAUAAAAUAGGACGUUUGAUCCUAUUUUGUUGGUUUCUAGGGUUGACGUAAUGAUUAAUAGGGAUAGUUGGGGGCAUUAGUAUUCAAUUGUCAGAGGUGAAAUUCUUGGAUUUAUUGAAGACUAACUACUGCGAAAGCAUUUGCCAAGGAUGUUUUCAUUAAUCAAGAACGAAAGUUAGGGGAUCGAAGACGAUCAGAUACCGUCGUAGUCUUAACCAUAAACUAUGCCGACUAGGGAUCGGAUGAUGUUAAUUUUUUAAUGACUCAUUCGGCGCCUUACG